UGAAGUUAAAAUUUUGAAUUCGACUUUACCUGCAUAUUCAGUGUUUCUUAAUGGACCAGCCUUUACAAAUGGGCCAACAAGCAGGAAUCCAUGGGCCAGGCCCACUUCUACUCCUCGGAGAAGUGGGUUCACGGCGGUCCGGUAGGCUGGUAAGUUGGAUAGGUACCAAGCAAUCAAUGGGCUUGAGGUCACUGGAGUUUCAAGACUUCCAAUGAAAGGGUCACCAUUCAAGGGCUGAAUCACUUGGUAAGUGGG
rnacentral:lncRNA from 1 species